rnacentral:rRNA from 1 species
UGCGUAGGUGGUAUGGCAAGUCAGAAGUGAAAACCCAGGGCUUAACUCUGGGACUGCUUUUGAAACUGUCAGACUAGAGUGCAGGAGAGGUAAGCGGAAUUCCUAGUGUAGCGGUGAAAUGCGUAGAUAUUAGGAGGAACAUCAGUGGCGAAGGCGGCCUACUGGACUGAAACUGACACUGAGGCACGAAAGCGUGGGAGCAAACA